CUGGUUUUCUUGGCGGAUUUAGUGCUUUGAGUGGUUCAAGAUCCGAUGGUGGUUCCCAGAUCCGGCGGUGGUCAACGAAUCCGAUGUUGAAGAUGUUGUUUCAGAUGUUGAAGAUGACCCCAAAGAUGUUCGAUGUUUAAACAUGAUGUUCCAGAUCUAGAAGAUCCUCCAGCUUUGUUUACAAAUCUACACUUUGAAGAUUAUGUUUCAGAUGUUUGAAGAUGAUGUUUCAGAUGUUGAAGAUGAUUCA
rnacentral:lncRNA from 1 species